UUUUCAGGCUUGGAUUGGUUUUUUGAUGCAGUAGAGAAGCCGUUUCCUUUGAACUUGGUCCAUCGGACAGAUAUAGACAUGGAGAAGCUUUUCAAUGUCAAUCAUUCACUACUUUGUUUGGACCUUGCUUCUUCACUUAAUGCUUGCUUUCCGUCUUGCCUUUGCUGGGCUACGAUAGGCUGUACUCCAAUACGAAAUAAGAUUGUACAUGAAGGUUGGUGA
rnacentral:rRNA from 1 species